rnacentral:lncRNA from 1 species
AGGCACCCCUGGGGCUGGCGCUGGCGCAGGCUGUGCUGCCUCAGCCCCGAGAGCCCCUCCCCUCACCUGAACUCUGCCCGCCACCUCCUUGGCAGUGCCUUCCCACAGGCCAUGGCUGGGAGCAGCCCGGGACCCGGGCCAGUGCCCAGCCACCAACUGGGGACAGGCCAGGUUGCACUCAGGACGGGAGAGAACAGCACGCAGGAGGGAGGGAGAGAUGCUGGGUCUCCCUCUUGGCAUCGGGAAAGCUUUUGCUGUGGCGAUCUCAGUGUUUAGUGAGGUGGCAGCAGGGCCUGAGCCCCGGCUGCUGUCACCCCUGUGCCCUCUGCCCUCAUGUGUCCCUCGCCCUGGCCCUGGAGUCGUGGCAGAGGGCCUGCCUUGGCCCAAGGCCCCAGGACAGGCGCAUGGCUUCCCAGCGUGCGUGUCAGCCCACCAUCGUGAGCUCUGGAGACGGCGUGGCCCUCAGCCCCGCCCUGCCUCCCUCGCCCCAGUGCCCAGAGAAUGGAAUAAUGGAAUCCGCCUCCUGGGAUUCUGAGGCCAGAGUGAAGACUUCCCGUGGGGCUGUUGGGGUGACCCGAGCUGUGCCGGCGACUGCAGGACAGCUCCUGGGUGUCCCGUCCUGCUCUCUCCCUCCCCACCUUGGCUCAGUUCCCAUGGAGGCCCCUCCUGCCACCCACUGCGCACCCUGGGGUCGCCUGUCCACCCCCAGAGAGUCACAGGCGGGGAGCUGGCCCCAGGAGUCCGGAGGGGGCUCCCUGCUGCUCCUUCUGUUCUGCGUAUCUAGCGAGGGGGCCUCGGUGUCCCUGCCCCUGCCAGCACGGCUGCUCCCUUCUCCACAGCAAGGAAGGGCAGGACAGGCUGCUGACUGAGGGGACAACACAGCCCACCAGUGAAAGCCAGCUGAGGGCUGUGGUCCUCUUCCUGUGCUGGGCCAACGUGUGUCUGUGUCCCCACCCACUGGCCACCGCCGGCACCUGGGGUCCCUCUGCACCCCAGGGUGA